rnacentral:lncRNA from 1 species
UAGUUAAUAAGAAAAUUGAAUGAAGGUGACUUCAUCCUCUUCGAUGCUAGUGGAGAGUUCAUCCAAUCCAAAGCCGUAAGAACCUUUUUGUUGUUAUCUUCGUAUAAAAUUUUGGAAUUAAAAGAUUGUUACUAUAUGCCAAAUAUUAUCAGAAAUAUUAUUUCAGUUCCUAUAUUUUUAGAAUGUGAUUUUGAAGUAAGA